CGCACAUUGCGCCCCUUGGUAUUCCAUGGGGCAUGCCUGUUCGAGCGUCAUUUACCCCCUCAAGCACUGCUUGGUGUUGGGCGUCUGUCCGCGAGGACUCGCCCCAAAAGCAUUGGCAGCGGUCCUGUCAGCCCCCUCGCGCAGCAGUUUGCGCUCGACGGGUGGCUCGGAGGGCCGCGUCCACGAAGCUCCGUCACCUUUUUGACCUCGGAUCAGGUAGGGAUACCCGCUGAACUUAA
rnacentral:misc_RNA from 1 species